UGCAAUAUCGUCAAAACUCUUUUCGAUGGGCUGAAAAGAUUCUGACUCACCUCAACAAAGAUUUUUUAUCUGAAAAUAAUCCAAGUGAGUUUUUAAGAUCUACCAGUAACAUCUAGCAGCAUGUAGUAGCAACCUAGUAGAAUAGAAAAGAUGAACCCCUAGGUGCAGUUAUCGUAUGAUACAAUCUCUCUAUCGUGAGUCCCGACUAGACGGAGGUCAUGGAGAAUUCGUCAAACCCCAUCAUCAGUUAUAUGCUAGAUUGGCUCAACUCGAGUUCAUCUGUAAAUCUCAUAGAAUUUUUUUUUCAGUAUUCACUCUUGCUCUGGCCAAAGGCUUCC
rnacentral:lncRNA from 1 species